rnacentral:rRNA from 1 species
UACGGGGGGGGCAAGCGUUGUUCGGAAUUACUGGGCGUAAAGGGCUCGUAGGCGGCCAACUAAGUCAUACGUGAAAUCCCUCGGCUUAACCGGGGAACUGCGUCUGAUACUGGAUGGCUUGAGUUCGGGAGAGGGAUGCGGAAUUCCAGGUGUAGCGGUGAAAUGCGUAGAUAUCUGGAGGAACACCGGUGGCGAAGGCGGCAUCCUGGACCGGCAUUGACGCUGAUGAGCGAAAGCCAGGGGAGCAAACGGG